AUACGGAGGGUGCAAGCGUUAAUCGGAAUUACUGGGCGUAAAGCGUACGUAGGCGGUUCGUUAAGUUAGAUGUGAAAGCCCCGGGCUUAACCUGGGAACUGCAUUUAAAACUGGCGGACUAGAGUUGAGUAGAGGGGAGUGGAAUUUCAGGUGUAGCGGUGAAAUGCGUAGAGAUCUGAAGGAACACCAGUGGCGAAGGCGACUCCCUGGACUAAAACUGACGCUGAGGUACGAAAGCGUGGGUAGCAAACAGGAUUAGAAACCCGAGUAGUCC
rnacentral:rRNA from 1 species